UGAGUAACCUGCCCUUCACUCUGGGGUAACUCCGGGAAACCGGGGCUAAUACUGGAUAUGACUCGAACAGGCAUCUGUUUCGGGUGGAAAGAUUUAUUGGUGGAGGAUGGACUCGCGGCCUAUCAGCUUGCUGGUGAGGUAAUGGCUCACCAAGGCGACGACGGGUAGCCGGCCUGAGAGGGCGAUCGGCCACACUGGGACUGAGACACGGCCCAGACUCCUACGGGAGCA
rnacentral:rRNA from 1 species